rnacentral:rRNA from 1 species
AUUGAACGCUGGCGGCAGGCCUAACACAUGCAAGUCGAACGAGUGGCGGACGGGUGAGUAAUGUAUGGGAAAGUGCCUGAUGGAGGGGGAUAACUACUGGAAACGGUAGCUAAUACCGCAUAGCUUCAGAUAUGCCCAGAUGGGAUUAGCUUGUUGGUGGGGUAAAGGCUCACCAAGGCGAGGAUCCCUAGCUGGUCUGAGAGGAUGAACAGCCACACUGGAACUGAGACACGGUCCAGACUCCUACGGGAGGCAGCAGUGGGGAAUAUUGGACAAUGGGCGCAAGCCUGAUGCAGCCAUGCCGCGUGUAUGAAGAAGGCCUUCGGGUUGUAAAGUACUUUCAGCGGGGAGGCGUUACCCGCAGAAGAAGCACCGGCUAACUCCGUGCCAGCCGCCGCGGUAAUAC